rnacentral:piRNA from 1 species
UUUUAUAAGGACAGAGCUGUAGGGAGCC